rnacentral:lncRNA from 1 species
AGGUUUGCCGCAGCCUUUCUUCCACUGGCCCACCAGCCCAUCCAGGCCGCUGCUGUGGGAGAGGAGGGCGAGCCCAGGAAAAUGGAGAAACCUUCAGCAGAAACUCACUCAGAUUUGAAGGAAAAACUUGAUGCUAAAGCAUCUGGGACUUCAGAAGCUCGGGCUCUAAUUGAGAACUUUGACAUGAACCUCCAACCUCUGUGCAGCAAAUUUCAAGAGACACUGCAAGUUUAUGACCAGGUGAUGUCCUGCCAUGACUCAACGGAGGAGGAGCUCCUCCACGUGAAGAGCAGGCUGGUCAGCACUUUCUGUUGGAUGAAACAAGAACUGGACUCCAGAGCCAUAAAAGGCAACAUGGAUGUGGCCACAGGCACAGAGAGUCCAUCACCCUGGCUUAAGCGCCUUCAAGACAGCGAGAUCCACUCUCUCCUGAAACAGUACUCUGAUUCGCUGCUGCAUCUGCUGCAGAAGAAGCUGGAGGAAGCCAGCAAAGCAAGCGUUGUCUGAACUUCGUUGCGCAGCCACCCUCCUGCCCAGAUUUUAUUGCACGGCUCUGCACGAGAAAACAUGGACACCAAUAUCUGUGUAACUCCUGCAGGGUUGCAUUCUUCGAAAUACAGGCUUCCUGCUUUCCCUCUGGCUUUUUUUGCUUCCAGGGGAAAAGUUUUAAAUUUUGCACACAAAGACUGACAAGUUUUUCAAAUAAAACUUUUUCUAGGUUUUGGAAAUAAUAAAAUUUGGUUAUUGCACUUUUAAAGGGCCUCUUUUUUUACUGUAUGCGCACCUCCGAUGCUGAGCAUGGCGAAACUUUUCCUGAAGGUUUAGCUCAGUUUGAAGCAGAGCUGUGCAUAUGCCAUGUUGGAACCCCCAUACUAAGCCAAAAUUCUUUGCAGCCCGUUUGCUUAUGAAGAUGAAUACUAAAUACAUGGAUUGCUUGGUCCCGUAAAUGGGG